rnacentral:sRNA from 1 species
UUCCGAGAGCUGGAGCAAAAGUGCCGGU